GGUGGGGUGCGUGAGUGGUUUAAACGGCAAUCCUGGAAAGAUUGUGUAUCAGAAAUGGUACCGUGGGUUCAAAUCCCACCCCCACCG
rnacentral:tRNA from 1 species